UACGGGGGGGGCAAGCGUUGUUCGGAAUUACUGGGCGUAAAGGGCUCGUAGGCGGCCCACUAAGUCAGACGUGAAAUCCCUCGGCUUAACCGGGGAACUGCGUCUGAUACUGGAGGGCUUGAGUUCGGGAGAGGUGAGUGGAACUGCGAGUGUAGAGGUGAAAUUCGUAGAUAUUCGCAAGAACACCAGUGGCGAAGGCGGCUCACUGGCCCGAUACUGACGCUGAGGCACGAAAGCGUGGGGAGCAAACAGG
rnacentral:rRNA from 1 species